rnacentral:sRNA from 1 species
GUGAAUGCCCUUGAGAGUGGAGUCCUCUCUUCACAGAAUAUCCUGGUCAGGAUCAGCACUCCAUGAAAAAUGACCUGGAGGGACCACUGCUAAGGGUGAGACGGGAAUUUAUUCCUUAUGGCUCAUUCAGUCCUUGGACUCU